UCCGACAAAGGCAAAACUGGAGUAAUCCGGUGACGCAAAGCCACGGGUCCAUCGCCUCCCCUUCGGGAAGGCAUGGAUCGCCGGGUUACCGAAG
rnacentral:ncRNA from 1 species